AUCACCUCUUCUGGUGUUUUGUAGGUGAGCCCAGCAUAAGGAGAACGAAGCAUUGCAAGUUUGUGUGUCUGCUCCUGCUCAUCUGCAAAGUCCUCAUGCUCUGAUUCCUCCUCUGCAGUGUGGCUGUGCUGCCUUUGGUUGACAGAACAGCUGUGUCUCUUCAGAGAUGUAUGCAAGCUCCACUAAGAUAAUCUCUACCAGGCAUCCAUUCCUUGUGGGUUUCGCACAAUUCUUUUGGCACAGAUGAUGUCAUCAGUGAUGUUGCUUGAUAGCAGAUCUGCAGGGAGAAAAGCACAGCCCAGGGAAAUCACCUGAGAGCAGGACAACAGCAUAAAGCAGAUUUCCCCAUGAGGAGCUCAUCCUUCCUACUGCUGGACUGUCAUUAGCCUCAUGUGUUGAAUGCUACCUGGCAGCAUUCUGCUUCUGCAUGGCCAGCAACAGCCAUGUACAUGUUUUCUCCCACGAAUGCUGAUGUGCCAGCCUCCAUUA